UACGGAGGGUGCAAGCGUUAAUCGGAAUUACUGGGCGUAAAGCGCACGCAGGUGGCUGAGUCAGUCGAUUGUGAAAGCCCUGGGCUUAACCUGGGAAUUGCAGUCGAUACUACUCAGCUAGAGUAUGGGAGAGGGUAGUGGAAUUCCCGGUGUAGCGGUGAAAUGCGCAGAUAUCAGGAGGAACACCAAUGGCGAAGGCAGCUCGCUGGGACGGUACUGACGCUGAGACGCGAAAGCGUGGGGAGCAAACAGG
rnacentral:rRNA from 1 species